rnacentral:rRNA from 1 species
CCCUUAGAUGUCCGGGGCUGCACGCGCGCUACACUGAAGGAAUCAGCGUGCUAAAACCAUUGUCGAAAGGCAUUGGUAAACCCAUUAAAAUCCUACGUGAUUGGGAUCGGGAAUUGCAAUUAUUUCCCUUGAACGAGGAAUUCACAGUAAGUGUGGGUCAUAAGCUCGCGUUGAUUACGUCCCUGCCCUUUGUACACACCGCCCGUCGCUGCCCGGGACUGAGCCGUUUCGAGAAAAGCGGGGACUGCUGCUGUCGGGGCUUUCGGGCCUUGGCUUCGGUGGAAACCGCUUUAAUCGCAGUGGCUUGAACCGGGCAAAAGUCGUAACA